GACGAACGCUGGCGGCGUGCCUAAUACAUGCAAGUCGAACGCUGAAGGAGGAGCUUGCUCUUCUGGAUGAGUUGCGAACGGGUGAGUAACGCGUAGGUAACCUGCCUGGUAGCGGGGGAUAACUAUUGGAAACGAUAGCUAAUACCGCAUAACAGUAGAUGUUGCAUGACAUUUGCUUAAAAGGUGCAAUUGCAUCACUACCAGAUGGACCUGCGUUGUAUUAGCUAGUUGGUGGGGUAACGGCUCACCAAGGCGACGAUACAUAGCCGACCUGAGAGGGUGGUCGGCCACACUGGGACUGGGACACGGCCCAGACUCCUACGGGAGGCAGCAGUAGGGAAUCUUCGGCAAUGGACGGAAGUCUGACCGAGCAACGCCGCGUGAGUGAAGAAGGUUUUCGGAUCGUAAAGCUCUGUUGUAAGAGAAGAACGAGUGUGAGAGUGGAAAGUUCACACUGUGACGGUAUCUUACCAGAAAGGGACGGCUAACUACGUG
rnacentral:rRNA from 1 species